UACGUAGGGUGCGAGCGUUAAUCGGAAUUACUGGGCGUAAAGCGUGCGUAGGUGGUUCGUUGUGUCUGUGGUGAAAGCCCCGGGCUUAACCUGGGAAUGGCCAUGGAAACUGGCGAGCUGGAGUCUGGCAGAGGGGGGUGGAAUUCCGCGUGUAGCAGUGAAAUGCGUAGAGAUGCGGAGGAACACCGAUGGCGAAGGCAGCCCCCUGGGCUAAGACUGACGCUGAGGCACGAAAGCGUGGGGAGCAAAACGG
rnacentral:rRNA from 1 species